GACGAACGCUGGCGGCGUGCCUAACACAUGCAAGUCGAACGGAACGUCAUUGGAACAAGCUUCGGCAAGGGAAUUUGAGUUUAGUGGCGAACGGGUGAGUAACGCGUGAGGCAACCUGCCUUUCAGAGGGGGACAACAGUUGGAAACGACUGCUAAUACCGCAUAACACAUCGAGAGGGCAGUCCUCUUGAUGUCAAAGAUUUAUCGCUGAAAGAUGGGCUCGCGUCUGAUUAGCUAGUUGGUGAGGUAACGGCUCACCAAGGCGACGAUCAGUAGCCGGACUGAGAGGUUGAACGGCCAC
rnacentral:rRNA from 1 species